ACAAGGUUUUCAUAAGGCCUUUCAGGUUUGCUUUUUCUAGUGGCCAGGCAGAGGAGUUUCUUACCUAUCAGCUCGUUGUUUGUUUAAAGGACAAACCAGGCUUUGACGGGUACGGGGAAUCAGUGUUCGAUUCCGGAGAGGGAGCCUGAGAAAUCGCUACCACAUCUAAGGACGGCAGCAGGCGCGCAAAUUACCCAAUCUCAAUACGAGGAGGUAGUGACAAGCUAUAGUGACUCCACACUAUUUAGUGGGGAGGUAUUGUCUUCUGACGAUUUUCCAUGAUUUGGGUGUAGAUAACCCUUAGAGUAGCCAUUGGAGGAAAAGUCUGGUGCCAGCACCCGCGGUAAUUCCAGCUCCAAGAGCGUAUAUUAAUACUGCUGUAGUUAAAACGCCCGUAGUAUACCUAAGAGUGUGCAUGUAGUAAUUAGUUUUGCCAGAGGACGGUUGGCGAGAGUUUAUCACCCUUGCUUGCCUACUUUUGGUAGACUUCAGUCGGGCUGGAUCUUUGGUCCUCGUCUGACAGUUGCUACGUGCGUACUUACCACGGUUCAUCCGUGAGGCCCUUGGCUUGCAACUGUAAAUAAAUCGUUGUGCUUAAAGCGGGCUAUGAUACUCUGCCAGAGCGAUUUAGCAUGGGACUGCAGAGUAGCUGUAUUUGAGUGAAGGUUGUACUUCGGUAUGGCUGGAGCUUGGUACAGCGCUUGUAAUGGAGCUCAGGGUGAGGCCCCGGGUACCAUGAGGCUAGAGGUGAAAUUCUGAGACCCUCAUGUGACCAACUAAGGCGAAAGCUGUCGUGGGCCACCACAAGCUCGUCUAUCAGGGACGAAAGUUGGGGGAUCGAAGACGAUUAGAUACCGUCGUAGUCCCAACUAUAAACGAUACCAACCGAGUAUUUGGGAAGACACUAUCCCAGCGAUCUUCUCAGAACUCAAGGGAAACCUUAAGUCUUUGGGUUCUGGGGGGAGUAUAGUCGCAAGACCGAAACUUAAAGGAAUUGACAGAAAGGCACCACCAGGAGUGGAGUCUGCGGCUUAAUUCGACUCAACACGGGGAAACUCACCAGGUCAGGACACAAGUUUCAUUGACAGGUUAAUAGCCCUUUCUUGAUUGUGUGGUGGGUAGUGCAUGGCCGUUUCCAGUUCGUGGAGUGAUCUGUCUUGUUAAUUCAGAUAACGAACGAGACCUAAGCCUUUAACUAGCCGUAGGCCUUUUCCUUCGGGGAAGGGUUAGUUUGUCG
rnacentral:rRNA from 1 species